UCCUACGGGGCGCAGCAGUGGGGAAUAUUGCACAAUGGGGGAAACCCUGAUGCAGCGACGCCGCGUGAGUGAAGAAGCGCCUCGGCGCGUAAAGCUCUGUCAGCAGGAACGAUAAUGACGGUACCUGAAGAAGAAGCCCCGGCUAACUACGUGCCAGCAGCCGCGGUAAUACGUAGGGGGCAAGCGUUAUCCGGAUUUACUGGGUGUAAAGGGAGCGUAGACGGCGGGGCAAGUCUGGAGUGAAAGGCCGGGGCCCAACCCCGGGACCGC
rnacentral:rRNA from 1 species